CUCAUAAUAACAAUGGGCUUUCGUUUACCUGGUAUCAUUAGACGGUCAUCAUCUUCCAAGGCUGUGGAUGAAGUCCCAAAAGGCUAUCUUGCGGUUUAUGUUGGAGAAAAAAUGAAGCGAUUUGUGAUUCCAACUUCAUUAUUGAAUCAACCUUCAUUUCAAGAGUCGUUAAGCCAAUCAGAAGAAGAGUUUGAAUAUGAUCAUCGAAUGGAUGGUCUCUCGAUUCCUUGCAGUGAAGAUGUUUUCUUAGAACACACUUCGUGCUUCAAUGUUAAAUCUCAUUAAAGGAGACUUACAUAGAUAUUAGUUAGUUAAGACAAAUUGUACAGCAUACACUUUCAUUUUUCAUUCGUUUCUAAGCUGAAAUGCCAUCCAACCGAGACAGUUAUGAACAGAGAUAUUUGAGUUUUUGGUCGAAUUUCAACGAAUUUCUGUAUACAUCUUAUUUUUGCACAAAAGAUUGUAUAUACUAACAGCAACCUUUUUACAUAUUCUGUUGUCCAAUAAACAUGUAAUUUAACAAUGGCAUAGGUCAAAAGAAAACAUAAUUCUCACCGAAGGAUUACUAUUUGCUAGUUCUUUUAUUGGAAGAAGUAGGAGAACAAUUGCGGUUGUAAAAUUGCAAAAUGAAAUCGAAGAGCCUUGUAAUCAUAAGUUCGUCAGCCUCGGGCAUGUCAAAACAACCAUAUGUUCUAGAGGUGUCCAUCAAGAAUCACAAGGUUUUAGAGUAGAUGACUGACUUGGAGAAAUGAAAGAGAUUUGUACAAAAAAAAAAAAAAACGUAAUUAUUGUUUAACCGAUUUAAUCCCUUGUUUCAUAUGUCCAACAUAUGCUCAAAGAGUUUCAUUUUUUUUUUUUUGUAUAAAUCUUUUUGAUCUAUCCGUAUAUGGGUUAGUCAUAAUAAGUUAUCAAUCACUAUGACAUACGGUUGCUAAAGAAAUUUCUUCAAUUUUUGAUAAAUGUUUGCACAUUAUUAGCAAUCUGCUUCAUUGAUCUAUUUCCUACCAUUUCCUAAUGUCUUUAACAAAUAGAAAAUCAAAGAAACAAAGUAAAGGAACUCUCUUAUUUAAAACUCUUCUUGUUCCAAAAUCAGAAUAGUCUUCCUGGUUUUGGAGUCAAACAUAAUUGCUUCUUUCAUAAUAAGGCUUUCACAAAAGGAAAAUACUUUGCAGUUUCACAGUAUCAAACAUAAUUCUACAUUAAACUUGUUUAUCCCAAACUCUAUUAAAGGUUAGUUUUGUUAGCGGAAACUCUGCCAAGGAAAAUAUGAAAGAUAGAUCUCUGUCCCUUUGUAUUAUAUUUUGAAAGGGUGGGGUACAAUCUAAGACAAACACUUCAUGAUAUCUCAUCCUAUGCUCUCUAUUAUUUUACCCUUUCAUACAGCCAUUUAGCUUUGAAUUGGGUUUAAAGGAAAACCAAAGAAAUCUCAUUUGCAGCCUAUUGCAGAUAAGAUAAAGUCUAAGCUUAGUGCGUGGAAAGCUUCUCUUCUCUCUAUUGCAGGGAGAGUGACUUUGGUUAAGUAUGUGAUUCAAGGAAUGAUGAUGCACACUAUAUAAUCUGUACUCUUGGCCUAAUUCAUUGCUGAAGGAAGUUGAAGCUUGGAUCAGGAACUUUAUUAAUUUGGAGUGGUGACAUAUCCAAAAGGAAGUUAGUGACUGUUUCUUGGCGUAAAGUUUGCAAGCCCUACUCUGAAGGAGGUUUGGGAUUGAGUACACUUUGAAUGAGCUGCAAACCUUAAGUUCUGUUGGGAUCUCAAAAAUUCAAAUGAAGACUGGGCCAUUCUUCUAAGAAGUAAGGUGUUUAGAGGAAGCAAAGUAAUUUCAAUGAAAAUUGCAGUGUUAAGUCAGAGAUUAUUAAUAUCAAUGAAAAGUGCAGCUGGAUCAUAGGUAAUGGGGAAAAUAUCAAUUUUUGGCUUGAUCCGUGGCUUGACAACCUGUUGCUUCUAUUCUUAACUUGCCAGGCAACAUUCAUAGUAGUUUAAUAGAUAGGGUUUCUGAUUUUUUACCGGCACUUCCCUCAACAUGUUUUGGACUCUUUCCCUAACCUGAAUCAACUUGUCAUGCAAGUAACUCUCCCUAGUGAGCCUAAGGAAGACAAAUUAGUUUGGAAAAGAUGCUAAACAGGAGAUCUUUCUCUUAAAGAGGCUUUUUCAUUCAAAUAUGGCACAGGACAAAAUAUUUCUUGGGCAAAAACGCUAUGGUGCCCUGAUAUCCCACCUUCAAAAUCUUUAUUGACAUGGAGACUCAUGCACAACAAACUUCCAACUGAUGAUAACCUAGUGCUCAGAGGGUGUAACCUUCCUUCAAUGUGCUUUUCUUGUCAGACUUCCUCAGAAACCACCUUUCAUUUGUUUUUUUGAAUGUCCAUUUGCUAUAAAAUUGUGGUCAUGGUUAGCUUCUCUCCUCAACAUGCCUCUUCAGUUCAACUUUUUGGGAGAAAUUUGGUCAAUCUUAGAUCAUAGUUGGACUCCUCAGUGCAAAGUAGUGGUUAAAGCUUGUAUCAUCAAUCUUUUAAUAAUCUGGUACAGAAGGAACAACGUUAGAUUCCAGGACAAGGUAGUUACUUGGAGAACAACUAUUACCUUGAUCAUCUCUAAGGUCUCUUUAUCAGGGAACUUCGCCUCAAAAACUGCUGCCUCCAACAUGUCUGAAUUCAUAAUUCUGAAGACUUGCAAAGUCACAAUCAAGCCUCCUAGGGAUUCCUUAAUCAAAGAAGUUAUUUGGGCUCCUCCUAUGCAUUCUUGGAUUAAGAUCAACAUGGUGCCUCAAUCAAGAACCCUACUAGAGCUGCAGCUGGAGGAAUAUUCAGAAACUCUGAUGGGGCUUGCUUAGGUGGCUUCUCUCAUUUUUUUGGUAAUGCAAAUGCUUUGUAUGCUGAACUGUUUGCAGCAAUGAAUGCUAUUGAAAUUGCUGCUUUGAUGGGAUUCUCUAAUGUUUGGUUAGAGUCUGAUUCUCAGUUGGUGAUCCUUGCCUUCAAGUCCAAAUCUGUUGUUCCUUGGGGUCUAAGGAACAAAUGGGAGAAAUGUAUUCAUAUUACUCAUAGAAUGAGAUUUUGUGCCACUCACAUUUAUAGGGUUGCGGAUUCCCUAGCCAACUUUGGUUUAACUUUAUCUACUUUAGAUUUGUUUUGGUUUGAUAGCAUCCCUGACUUUGUUAGGAGGGAAUACAAUAGGAAUAUGUUGGGUAUGCCCAACUUUAAAUAUGCCACCUUUUGAAAAGGUUCUGGUGUUGUCCUCCUUUUCUUUUUAAUGAAAUGAUAUGAUGCUCUUUGCAUCUUAAAAAAAAUUAAAAAAAAAUACAACAGUAUAGACUAAUCCAUCGAGCGGUGUAGGAAAUCAUUUAUAAAUAUGAUUAAAUUUAAAUGUUUUGUUAUUAAUUUUAUAACUUAGAAUAUAAAAUAUAUUUUUCUCUUAAAAAAAAAGAAUAUAAAAUAUAUUUUUAAAUAAUCAUAUUUUAUCGACAUUAGUAAUUUUUCACUCAUUUUAAUUUUAUAUUUUAUAAUUUAUGGUUAUAUAAAUCAGAUGAACUAGUUUUUUUUCUUCUUCUAUUUUUUAUUCACAUUCAUAUUUAUAUUUUAUAAUUUUUCUAUUUUUAAUUUUAUAACAUAGGUUCAACCUUUUUAUGAACCAGAUGAACUAUAGCGGACCUUCACAUGCAAUUACUCGAACCGUGGUUAGUUUAUUUUUUCAAUAUAAAUAUAGUAAAAAAAGGAGGAUAUAGAUAUGGUGAGAAUUUUUUUUGCAAAAAGAAAUGGUGAGUAUUAUUGUUGUAGGUAAAAGGAUGAAUUUAUAAUACAUUAUAAAAAUAAGGGCUAAUGGUGCUUUACCCCCUGUAAUAUAGAUCAUUUUUUAUUUUCUUCCCUGUAAAAUAUUAUUUUUGAUUUACCCCCCUGUAAUUUUUUUUUUUUUGGAAUACCCCCCUAAUAGGUCAUAAAAAAACGAAAAAAUUCUGCAAAAAAUAAAUAAAGUCGUUUUUUUAUGACCUAUUGGGGGGUAUUCCAAAAAAUAUAUAUUUUACAGGAGGUAAAUCAAAAUAAAUAUUUUACAGGGGGGAAAACCAAAAAUGACAUAUAUUACAGGGGGUAAAACACCAUUAACCCUAAAAAUAAAGUACUAUGAUAAAUAUACAACAGCAACCAAGCCUUAUCCCACUAAGUGGGGUCGGCUACAUGGAUCAAAUGACGCCAUAGUGUUCUAUCAAAAUCAUAUUUGGAUCCAACUCAUUGACCUCUAAAUCUUUUCCAAUGGUUUCUCGAAUGAUUUUCUUAGGUCUUCCUUUACCUCUUUUAACCUGAUUCUACUCCAUUUGAUCUACUCUUCUUACAACGGCAUCUACGGGUCUUCUCUCUACAUGUCAAAACCAUCUAAGCCUAUUUUCUACCAACUUUUCUACUAUAGGUGCUACCCCCACUCUCUCUAAUGGUGUCAUUAUUCUAUCAUGUCUAGUCUUACCACUCAUCCAGCGCAACAUCCUCAUCUCCGCUACACUUACUUUACUCUCGUGUUGGCUCUUAACUGCCCAACACUCCGUACCAUACAACAUUGUCGGUCUGACUGUUGUCUGAUAGAAUUUUCCUUUCAGCUUAAGUGGUACUUUCUUAUCGCACAAAACACUUGAGGCUCUUCUCCAUUUCAACCACCCAGCUUGAAUACGAUGAUUUACAUCUGCUUCUAUUUCUCCAUCAUUUUGCACUAUGGACCCAAGAUAUGUAAACUGUGUAACUUGGGGUAUGAUAUGAUCUCCAACUUUCACCUCCAAGGUAUACCCACUUCUCCUUUUGCUGAAGUUACAUUCCAAAUACUCCGUCUUGCUUCUACUCAAGCGGAAACCAUACGCUUCUAAGGCUUGCCUCGAGGUCUCUAGCCUCCCAUUUGACUCCUCCCUCGACUCACCAAGCAAGACUACAUCAUCGGCAAAAAGCAUACAUCUCGGUGUUAACUCUUGGAUGUGUUUCGUUAGUACAUCCAAAACUAAAGUAAAAAGAGAAGGACUUAGGGUUGACCCUUGGUGCAGUUCUAUUGUUAUGGGAAAAUCUACGCUAUCCCCAUCAUGCGUCUUCACACUAGUGGAAGCUCCCUCAUACAUAUCCCAGAUAGCUCUAAUAUAGGCAAUCCUCAUCCCUUUCUUCUCCAGGGUUUUCCACAAAAUCUCUCUAAGUACUCUAUCCUACGCCUUCUCCAAAUAAGUGAAAACUAAUUGCAAGUCUUUUUUAUCCGUCCGAUAUCGCUCCAUCAUGCGUCAAAGUAAGUAGUUCGCUUCCAUAGUCGACCUCCGAGGAAUAAAACCAAAUAAGUUAUCCGUAACAUGAGUCUCUUUUCUUAGUCUUCGCUCAAUUACCCUUUCCCAUAACUUCAUGGUAUGACUCAUUAGCUUAAUUCCCCUAUAAUUCGCGCAAUUAUGUAUAUCCCCUUUGUUCUUAUAAGGUGCUUCUUCUCCACUUGUCUGGAAUAUUCUUCGUCUUCAUAAUCUCGUUGAAUUUUUUUGUGAGCCACACAAUUCCUUAUAUCGCCAAGACUUUUCCACACUUCGAUAGGUAUGUUAUCCGGCCCAACUUCCUUGCCAUUACUCAUCCUUUUCAAUGCUUUUUUCACCUCGUGCUCUUGAAUUCGACGAUAAUAGUUAUAGUUUCGGCCCUCCGCUCUGAUGUCUAACCUGUUAGAGUCUGGUAAGAUCUCAUAUCCUUCAUUAAAUAAGUUAUGGAAAUACAUUUUCCAUCUAUCCUUAAUAUUUCUUUCUUGAACCAAAACUCUACCAUCUUCAUCUUUGAUACACUUCACUUGGUCCAGGUCUCUUGGCUUUCGUUCUCGUCCCUUCACAAGCUUGUAUAUAGAUUUCUCCCCCUCCUUGGUACCUAAAGAUUUGUAUAAUCCUCCAUAGGGUCUCGCUUCACUCACCGCCUUCUUAGCCUUUUUCCUAGCUAUCUUAUAUUAAUCCCAAGUUUCGGCAUUUUUACACUUAGACCAAUCUUUAAAUCAAUCUCUUUUAAUCCGAACUUUACUAUGAACACUGUUAUUCCACCACCAAGAUUCUUUAGCCCUAGGUCCAAAACCUCUAGAUUCUCCCAACGUCUCUUUUGCCACCUUCCUAAUCUCGUGAGCCAUCAUCUCCCACAUAUCAUUAGCGCUUCCAUGUGGUUGCCUGAAACCUCCCUCUAAUAUCUUGCAGAGCCCCGCUACGGCCAUUCUCUUUGCGCUCCUCUUAACCCUUACAUCCAUCACCAUUACUCUAUGUUGGGUAGUUAAGCCCUCUCCAGGUAUGACUUUACAGUCUAAUUAGAUCUUCCUGUCUGUUUUCCUAAUAAGAAAAAAUCGAUUUGAGAACAUGAGGGCCCACUCGUGUAAGUGAUGAGAUGCUCAUCUCUUUUCCUAAAACAUGUAUUAGCUAUAGUAAGAUCAAAAGCCGAUGAAAAAUCUAAGAUGGAAUUAUCCCCGGCAUUUAACUCCCCAAGACCAUACCCCCAAUGCACGCCCUCAAAACCUCUUGAAACACUCCCUACAUGCCCAUUUAAAUCACCUCAUAGAAAAAUCUUUUCUCCUAAUGGGAUAUCCUGAAUUAAGCCUUCUAGCUCCUCCCAAAACUUGACUUUAAGGUGUUCUUCUAACCCUACCUGAGGUGCAUAAGCGCUAAUUACGUUAAAGGUCUCUUGUUCCACUACAAACUUUAGGGAUAUAAUCCGAUCUCCUAUCCUUUUAACAUCCACAAUAUCUUUCUUCCACUCGUUAUCCACAAUGAUGCCUACCCCAUUUCUCGAUCUAACUUCGCCUGUGUAUCAAAGCUUAAAUCCUGAACUAUCUACUUCUUUCGCCUUUUUCCCCACCCACUUAGUUUCUUGUAGGCACAUAAAAUUAAUCCUCCUCCUGGUCAUAAUGUCUACUACUUCCAUAGAUUUACCCACAAGAGUACCUAUAUUACAUGUCCCAAAACGAAUCCUGCUCUCAUGAACUAGCUUCUUUACCCACACCCGUUCACGAAGAUGUGGAAACCCUUGCUUAUUUUUCACUACAUCCAGGCGGUGAUGCAGCGGCCCUUGCUCAUUUGACAUUGUACUCGAGCUAUACAGCGUGUUGCUUCUAGGCAACGACCUAACAUUCACACUAUUUUGUAUUUGGUCCAUGUCAUAGAGAUUCGGCAAAGUUUUACGUUGGCUGUCGAGGCAUAACAUAACCUUCCUUUUACUCGGGCUUGGGAUCGACCUUGGUAGGAUUAAAGUACUAUGAUAAAUAUCUUAAAACAUAAACAACUAAAUUAAUUUUGAAUAAAAGAUGAAUUUGAAGGAGCAAAAGAAUAUUUUAGCACAACUUUUUACUCAUUAUUAUGUUGUUAGGGAAUUAGAAAGUGUGCUAGCUAGUCUUUGAUGUGAUAUGAUUACUACCAUUAGUUGUGGAAUUACAAAAGUUUAGGGGAUGACUACCGACUUGUAUACUUCUAUUAUUGGUGCAUCAUUGUUUUUCAUAGAGGGCUAUAUUUUCUACAAAACACUAGUUAUCCCUUUGAACCUUGAAACACCUAUGAAUAUCCUUUGCCAGAAUUUGAGGAAUGCUUGAUGAGAGAGGACGAAUAAUAGGUCAAAGGUCGGUUGAACUAUACGCAAGUUUCAACAAAGAUAAAAGUUGGAAAUUAUUUUUACUUUAUUUAUAAUGUUAUAUCUAAGGAGGGUGUAUUGAAUUAGGAUUUUAAAUGAUAAUUUUUGUUUAAAAAAGUUUUGAAGAUUUUAAAAGACUUAGCAUAAUUUUGAUGACUUUAAUUAUUUUAAAAGACUAUUAAAGAUUUCAAUAGAUUUAAUUCAUAAGGUUUUAAAGGAUUUAAAAUGAUUUUAUGGAUUUCAAGAGACUUCAGCAGAUUUUAUGAAUAUUAAUAAAUAAUUGAAAAAAAAAAUCAUAACACACUCUCUUUCACAAAAUCUCAAUAAAGAUUUUUUUAUUUUUUUAUGUUAUUUUUAUUUUUUACGGGAGAGAGAGGAAAAGAGAGAGUAAUAGAGAAGGGAGGAGAGAGGGAGAGAUAUUAAUAUCUUAAAAGAAAAAAACAAUCUUAACAAAUAUUAUGUUUUCAUGAAAGACUUUUUCAUGCCAAAAUUUCACUAGAAAAUUCCACAAAAUUCAUCAAAAUCUGAUUUAUUAAAUAAUCUUUCAAAAUUUGAAUGAUUUUGAAUACCACUAAACUUUUUUGUAAGUGAUUAAGAAUCUUGAUUGAUUAUAACAAGACUUUUUUUGACUUUUUUAAAUGACAAAAAAUUUUGAUUGAACAAUGCAAAAUUUUUUUUAAAUUGAAAAGAAUCUCAUUAUUGAAUAUCACAAAAUUUUUUCAUUAUAAAACAGUCUUUUAAAAUUCCUUAAAAUCAUGAUCCAAUAUACCCUAAAUGAAUGAGCAAUUUUCUGAAAAUAAAGUAACACAAAUUCAGCCCAUUUUACUUUCUACCAAGUUUUAGGGUUUUGGGUAGAAACAACAGUUACACUUUGUACCAAGUUUUCUUUUCUCGCGGCGGCGAUUCAAGACCUUCGAAAUGGGUAAGAACAAACCAAUCCUUUAUUCUCUCGUACUCAAUUUAAUUGAAUCUGAAUCAUUUAUUCUCAUUUUAACGCAAUAGCUAAAACAUAUGAGCUGAGGCAAAAAACAAAACCAGAUCUUCUGAAUCAAUUGAAGGAUCUGAAAGCAGAACUUGCUCUCCUUCGCGUCGCGAAAGUCACCGGCGGUGCCCCUAAUAAAAUAUCCAAAAUGUAUGCCUUUUCCGCUGCACUUAAUUGUAUACAUAUUUUCUUGUUUUUAUUAUAUAAUAAUGUUUGUUUUAAUUUAAAUACGCUGAGAUUCAGCCCUUAUGUAUCUAUCUAACUUUCUGCAGCAAAGUGAUUCAAAACAAAUUACUAGGAGUGAAUAGGCAAAAACCCCCUGAAAUUGUAACUUUCGUCAAAAACCCCCCUGAUUUUUAAGAAACUUGAAAAACCCCUUUGAAAUUAUCAAACGUCAGUCAAUUACCCCCCUCCGUUUGUUUUGGCUGUUAAAUGACUAUUUUUUUUAUUUCUUUUUGCUUUCUUCAUCUUCUUCCUUCCACUUUUUUCAUCAUCUUCUUCAAUAUUCAUAAAAAAAAAUCCAGAAAAAUUUAAGAAACAACAACCAUUAACAACAUCAUCAUCAACAUCACACACUUUAUAAUGAUUCUCUCUCUCUCUUGUUUGUUACCUUCUUGAAUUAAUCAACAACAACCCUUUGGAAUUCAUCAACAACAAAAUGAAUAAUAGAAAAGAUCAUGAACUUGUUGGAAAAAGAACAAGGUUUAUGAUGAAUAGCAUGAACAACAACAUCAACAACAACGGUUCUUCUCAUUCUCAUGAUGUUACUGUUCCAUCAUCACUCAUGUCUCCUCUUCAGAAUAAAUCACUUUUUAACCCUCAUUCAAAUGGAUUUCCUUUUUGGAGCAGCGAUGAGAUUACCAACAACAAUGAUCAUCAUCAUCAAUUGUCUCUUGAUCUUUCUGCUACGACCCUUUUGGAUAACAACAAUGAGCAACAAACAAGAGAAGUUAGUAAUGAGAUGAUGAUGAUGUUGUUAAUGGUUGUUGUUUCUUAAUUUUUCUGGAUUUUUUAUAAAUAUUCAUGAAGAUGAUGAAAAAAGUGGAAGGAAGAAGAUGAAGAAAGCAAAAAAAAAAAAAUAAAAAAAAAUAGUCAUUUAACUGCCAAAACAAACGGAGGGGGGUAAUUGACUAACAUUUGGCAAUUUCAGGGGGGUUUUUGACGAAAGCUACAAUUUCAAGGGGGUUUUUGCCUAUUUACUCAAAUUACUAGAUAUUUUUAGAUAUUUUUUUUUGUGUGUUUAUGAAUUUGAUUGUUUUUGUUAUUGUUUGGAUGCAGCAAAGUUGUUCGGCUUAACAUCGCACAGGUUUUGACAGUGAUUUCACAGAACCAAAAGACAGCAUUGAGGGCAGCGUAUAAGCACAAAAAGUACUUGCCUUUGGAUCUUCGUCCCAAAAAGACCAGAGCUAUUAGAAGACGUCUCACUAAGAAUCAGGUAUUUUUUUAUGUUCUACAUUGUUUCUGUUUGUGUUCUGUGGUAAAUAAGCAGAGAGGUGUGUCAAUAUUGAAGUGAAUAGUUUAUGAAGUUGGUGAAUUCUGAUUUUCAAAGCUUCUCUUGUUUUGAUCAAUUACUCUAGAGUGUCUUUUUCAUAUUGAACUUAUGGGAUUGCGUAAACAUAGCCGAAUUUUAAUAAAUCUAUAUUGUUCUACUAUCCUCUAUUUAGUAGAAAGUGUUGUCAAAUAGCCACCAUUGCAGUGCGGAAGUAUAGAAGAAUUUGAACAAACUGCUAUUUUCCGUGAUGUGCGAUUGACAACAUUGCAAAAUAUAGGAAUAUGGAACAUUUAUUCCCAUGAAAAUGGGCGUCAAAAAAGUUUCUAUGUAGGUGGGAAUACAUCCAUGUCUCUUUUAAAAUAAAUUUUGGGAAUAUUAUAAAUGUUAACCCAACAUCCUUUUUUAAAAGCUAUGAUAAAACAUCUAUCUUUGUAUUCUAAAGAAAGUUAUUUUCUGGAACAAGUCUAAGGCUUCUUCCAAAAUUUUUGAGAAUAUUAUAACUAUACAGAUUGAAUUUGAAGAUUUCAUCUAAAGCCUCCUUUGACACAAUUCUGAAUUCCUCUAAAUUAGGGGGGAUUUGUUAUGAAAAAAAAAGAACCCUAAAGCCCUUUUCCUCCCAAAGUACUCUAUUUCUUCCACUUGCUCCAUUUUUACCACUGCCCUCCCCUCCUAAACUCCUAAACACACCCUAAAUCUGGAACACUUAAAACAAACACGCCCUUAAGCUUGGAAUGUGGCAGAUUUGACUGUAAUGUUCAGCCACAUUUCUUCAGAAACUCAGAUUAAGCUUGCUUUGUUUAACUGGCAUGGUUUAGGUUAGGCCACAACAUGUGUUGCACAUAUUAAAAUGAAGACGAACAAUUCACUCAUUUUUUCAUAAUUGUUUAUGUGGACAAUAAAUAUGGAUCUUAACUUUAUGCACUAUGAGGGCCCCACAAGAUUUGUCAACAAGACCACACACCUUUUGUAAUAACUCUAGGGACUGGGGGAACUGGGUUUCGUUGUAGAGUUUUGCUGCAAUGGAAUUAUUUUAUCGAUGUGCCUUAUUGGAGCAUAGAUUAUAUAUUUGCCUGUUAUGACUGGUGCAAACCUUUUGUUUUUAUAGAACCUUAGUGUACCUGUUUUGACUUUUGUGACCAAUCUUUGUUGGUGAAGUUGUUUUGAGUAUCUUCUUUUCAUGAAUUCAUUGAAUUGCUGACUGCGGUUUCAUUGAAUAUUAUAAGCAAAAACUCAAUUGUUAGUUUCAUUGAAUAACUGAUGAAUAUGUUGUAUAAUAUUGACCAAAGAGUGUAUGAAUUAUCUUUGCGCCUUACUUUUCAUGAAUUGACUUGGUAUUUCUUACAGCUCUCUUUGAAGACAGACCGUGAGAAGAAGAAGGAAAUCUACUUCCCAUUGAGAAAGUAUGCCAUUAAAGCGUAAUGUUGGACCCUUUUUUUUUUUUUGUGGACAUUUUUCUAAAAAUAUUUGGUGUUGUGUUCUAUGUUUGUUUCCUUGAGUUUAACUUAUCUUCAUGAAAUGGAAUUACAAGUACAUUUGUUCUCAUUCCAGCUUCAGGUUUUUACUGCUUGAACUGUUUGUUUACUUUACCAUUUGGCACAAAUAUGUUUACAAAUAGUCGCAUCAAUAUAUAUGCAAGUAUGAUCGUUGUAACUUGAAUGACUAUGCGGUACGAGAGUCAUGUUGUGUUUGCUCCACUCUAUGUGAAUGCACGUCAUCGUGCGCUACUUCGGACAGCUCCAACACAGGACUAACGGCCUGAGGUAACCUUCCUUGAGGGAUUUCAUCCAUAACAUUAUGCAAUGCAAAGCUGAACGAGUUGGCGGAAACGUCGUUAUUAACGGCUACGACAUAAACAACGUUAUUAACGGGUACAACAACAUCGUUAUUAACGGGAGCUGACUGUUCCUGAUUGUUCAAACCACCUAUUGUAGAAGUUGGGGCUGUAUCAACAUGUUGAACCAUAUGUGUGUAUUUAGCGACAACAGUUUGAGUUAAUGCCUGUUCUUGGUUCUGCUUCUUUGUAAUAUAGAACGUUGAUCUAUACUACUAUGUAUUAUUGCUGUUGAAGCAGGGGAAGAACAGAACAUGUCCAUUCUUUUCAUGGAUAUAAGUUGAAUUGAAGUUAAGUUGUUUAAUUUGUUUGGUUUGUAAAUGGCUUUUUAAGUAGUAGCUGAAGGUAAUGAAGGCUAAAGGGAGUGUAAUUGUAAGAUCUUUCUAAUAUUGAGAGAGGGAAAAGAAGAGAUAAUGCAUUAUUAGGUCUCACUGUAAUGAUGCCUUGGAAGAUUUGGGAUUAAUCUCGAUCUUCAAAGUGCAUUUUCUCUUUAAUCCUUAUUUAUUUUCCUAAAAUAUGUAUCCUUUUAUAUUUUGUUCAAAAUUCAAUUAUCUCCUUUAUUUUUUAAAAUAUUCAUUUUAGUCGUUUAUCUGNACAACGAUAGACGAAGAAAAAUGUUAUGUGAACAAUAGUGAUUGAAUAUUAUGUGAACAAUAGUCGUUUUUUUAAAUAUUUACAUUGAAUGACUAUUGUGACUACUUGUUACAUAUUCAGCUACCAAAGUAAAUUACCCCAUAAUAAAUUUGUAUCGGAAUUUGUGUAUUUUAUUUUAUAUUAAAUAUACAAAUUUUGUUAUAUUUUUAGUUGCUUUUGUUAAUUUAUGUUUUUUUAUAUUUUCAAUAAAAAGUAAUGGAGUAUUUAGAUUUUUUUUUAUGUACAUGAGUCACUCUCUGGUUAAUUUUAUUUUGUAAAUUUUAUUUUCUAUUUAGCAUAAAAAUAUCACGUUGAAUUAGUUAUCAUUUCUUAUCUUUUAGCAUAAGUUUUAUUUUAAUUCUUUUUAAAUUUUUGUUUUGAAGAAGUCAACCUAUACCAUUGAAAUUGAGAUUGGAGAUAAUCAAACCUAAGACCUUGAGAAAAGCAUACUUCAAGGUCUCAAGCCAACGCCUAUUUUAUAGUUUUUUUUAAUUUAUUAUGCACAUGUGCUACAACAAUUUAUAAUUAAAAUAGUUAUUUUUAUGUAGUAAAUAGCUCAACAAAUGACAUCUAGAUUAUUAUUAUAAACAUUGAGUACGAAUAUCAUUACUUUCAUGUUUGCAUCCAUUGAUUAAAUGUGCUACAAUAUCAAUAUAUUUUAUCUGUCUGCAGGAGUUUUUUUUUUUUGAGGGAAUCUGUCCGUACGAGUUAACCUACCCACUUUACCCCUAUGAUGGGUUUUAUCUAUGCAUAUCAACUUAUAUUUUUUGUUAUCCCUAAUAAUUGCUACUUCACUAAAAAAUUGUAAAGGUCUAUUUUUUUAUGCAUUAAUCAGAUACCCUUUAAACGCAAGAGAGGAGUUAGAUAGGGAGAUCCCCUCUCCUCUUCUUUACUGCAUUGUUGAGGAUGUUUUGAGUCGAAACAUCUCCAAACUUGUGGAACAAGGCAAGCUUAAUCUCAUCAAAGGCACCAGAAAUGUUCAAGUUCCUUCUCAUUCUCUUUAUGCAGAUGAUAUAAUGAUCUUUUGCAAAGGAAAACUAUCUUCAAUUAAUGCCCUCAUGGAUUUGUUCAAUUCUUAUGCUUUGACUUCAGGUCAAUUUAUUAAUCCCUCUAAGUCUACUGUGUUUUAUGGCUCAAUUUCAAAUGCAAGGCUGGAGCAGAUAACCAAUCUUAUUGGUUUUAACAAAGGCUCACUCCCAUUUUCUUAUCUUGGAUUACCAAAUUUUAAAGGAAAACCAAAGAAAUCUCAUUUGCAGCCUAUUGCAGAUAAGAUAAAGUCUAAGCUUAGUGCGUGGAAAGCUUUUCUUCUCUCUAUUGCAGGGAGGGAGAGUGACUUUGGUUAAGUAUGUGAUUCAAGGAAUGAUGAUGCACACUAUAUAAUCUGUACUCUUGGCCUAAUUCAUUGCCGAAGGAAGUUGAAGCUUGGAUCAGGAACUUUAUUAAUUUGGAGUGGUGACAUAUCCAAAAGGAAGUUAGUGACUGUUUCUUGGAGUAAAGUUUGCAAACCCUACUCUGAAGGAGGUUUGGGAUUGAGAUCCUUGUACACUUUGAAUGAAGCUGCAAACCUUAAGUUCUGUUGGGAUCUCAAAAAUUCAAAUGAAGACUGGGCCAUUCUUCUAAGAAGUAAGGUGUUUAGAGGAAGCAAAGUAAUUUCAAUGAAAAUUGCAGUGUUAAGUCAGAGAUUAUUAAUAUCAAUGAAAAGUGCAGCUGGAUCAUAGGUAAUGGGGAAAAUAUCAAUUUUUGGCUUGAUCCGUGGCUUGACAACCUGUUGCUUCUAUUCUUAACUUGCCAGGCAACAUUCAUAGUAGUUUAAUAGAUAGGGUUUCUGAUUUUUUAACAGAAACCCUACUCUUUGGGAGAAAUUUGGUCAAUCUUAGAUCAUAGUUGGACUCCUCAGUGCUAGCAGUGUACAUAGGAGAGGACAUGAAGAGAUUUGUGAUCCCUAUAUCAUAUUUGAAGCAAAAAUCAUUCCAAGAAUUGCUGAGCCAAAGUGAGGAACAAUUUGAAUAUGAUCAUCCAAUGGGUGGUCUCACCAUUCCUUGCAGAGAAGACAUUUUCUUGGAUAUCACCUCUCACUUAAUUUGAAUUAGCUCUUUGAAGAUAUCAUAGGACUGACGUAGUUAUUUGACCCAUUUUGUAGCAGUUUAGUUUCUAUCCUUCAGAAGAUUAAUCUUUUGUUGUUAUCAUAGUUGUAAAAAUGUUCAUCUCAAUGAGAAAUUUAUUAACAUCAUUUUCUCCAUAAAUAUAAAUCUGUAAAUCAAAUCAUCUAAUGGAUAAAUGUUCAGUUUAGAAUCUUUAAAUGAUAUAAUGGAAGAUUCAGUUAUUCAAAUAUAAAAUCAACCCCCCCUUUUGCAAAUAUAAAAUUAAAGUUAAAAGUAACUAUCAUGAUUUAACGAGAUCAUAGAUUGUAUAUAUUGAAAAAAAAAAAAAAAAACUGAAGAGAAGCAGAUAAUUAUUCAAUAAAAAUUGGUUAAGCAACAAGUCGCUUUGGCCGAGUGGUUAAGGCGUGUGCCUGCUAAGUACAUGGGGUUUCCCUGCGAGAGUUCGAAUCUCUCAGGCGACGAAUUCUUUUUCUAACAAAAUUGAGUUACUCUACACUUUACUUUAUAAUCAAAUUCUUUAAUGACAAAGUUGUUUUUCUUUUGCUUUGAAAUGACUAGUUACAAUUUUGCUCUCAAAAAAGAAAGUAAUUUCAAUUUUGCUGUAAAAAAAUGUGUAAUUUCACACAUGGGAGAGAUGAAGAACUAAGGGUGUGCACACUUCUUUGAGUUAGAUAUUGUAUUUGGGGUUUGUCGAAAUUCAAGAUAAAUUGACGCAAUUUUUAAUAAAUUAGAGACCAAGAAAAAAAUUGAUGUAAUUUUUAAAACACAUUCCAAGACAUAUCAAAUAAAAUGUGAAACACUUUUUUUUAAUAAAUCAAUACAAUGUUCUUCAACCUCAAUUUAGAACCACUGAUGAGGACAGAAGGGGCAAAAAAUGUCAUGACCAGCUAGAAAUCCAUUUUGGUUUGUAUCUCUCAAAUACAAAUUAUGUAAAACUUCUUUUCUUUUAAACAUUUUGAGGACAGAAAAUCAGUUACCCUUUUUUUUUUUUAGAGAAAAAAUCAAUUACCCUUGAAAACCUCAACAGAUCAUCAUAUACCAUCUCCUAUAUAUAUAUAUAUAUACACUCAAACCAUCCCUCUUUUUUCAUAACUCUUUGCCACUCACACUUACUUUACAAUCAAAGUUCAAAUUCAAAUCUAAAAACAAAAGAGAAAACAAUUCAGAAGAAUGGGUGAUUUACAGAUUCAACAAGAAUCCAUGUUGAUCCCUCACAAACAGAAACAAUCCAUGAUUAUUCCAACAUCAUCAAUGCUUCAUCAUCACACUCACAACAACACUGUCAAACGCCGUUCACCAUCAUCAUCAUCUUAUCACCAACCAUCAUCCAAGAAGCAUUCUUUUGACGCAAGCAAUCUCACCCGUAAUGGCUUCUCUGCCAUUACACUUCCUUUCAGUCUCCGUGGAAAUGCUCUUAGCCGCUGUGUCUCUGAUCCAUGCACCUUUCCGGAUCAAUCCAUGCCGGUAAAAGGGCCGUCAACUGCUUUGCAGCCUCUGCCUCCGAUCAGCAGAUGUAUAUCUGAAGUUAUUGAUCCUACUGAGGUUAAAGAAGCAGUAGCUCGUUAUUUGAACUGUGCUGAAAAAACCACCCCUGAAUCUGAUUCAAUGGUAUGUGUUGAAACUUGUGUUUCUUGCUAAAAAAGUAAACUUUUUUUGAUUUGGAAUAUUGGGUUUUGUUUGUUUUUUGUAGAGGCUUAAAAGGAUGAAGGAUCGGUUAAAAGAAAUGAAGAAAGUGUGGGAUGAAGUUAUGGAAGUCGGGGAAGAAAAUGAAAAAGAACAAGAAGAAGAAGAGCCCUCUCCUGAUGCUGAAGAUAAAAAAGAUGAAAAAGAACAAGAACAAGAAGAAGAACCCUCUCCUGAUGCUGAAGAUGAAAAAGAUGAAAAAGAACAAGAACAAGAAGAAGAACCCUCUCUUGACUCUUUUGUUUCUGAAGAUGAAAAAGUCAUAUCUCAGGUACAUAUCUUGAAUAUUCAACUGUGAUUGAGUUUUCUAUUGUAAUCUUCAAUGUAUUUGGUUCUUUAAUUGGUACUUACAAGUUAUGCUCAUAAAUUUAUAAGUUUUUUCUUGUUUUUAUGUAUAUCCUAGUUGCACUUGCUUAAUUACGUAGAAUCCGGGGGUUAUGGGAAAUUAAAGUAUUGAAUUUGAUCAUAGUUGCAUUUGUAAUUAUAGUUUAUGUGCAGCAAUUUUAACAACUCAAUUAUAUAGGAUCUGGGAUUUAUGGGAAGUUAUUGAAUGUUUCGUUGCUUGUUCACAUAAUUUCUCUUCUGUAGUUAAGCAAUAGUCAUAUACGUUAAUGCUAGUAAGUUGUCCAUCACAGAUCACGGAAAUAGUGGUUUGUUCCAAUUCAGAUUAAUAGUUUUUAUGCUGAACAAUUGAUUUUUGUUUUUGUAGGAUGAAUUGGGAAAUGAUUAUGAAGAAGCUGUUAGUGUGGAGUGGGUUGAUAAGUGUUUAAGCCUUACUUUCAAGUGUCCAUGUGGCAAGGGAUAUGAGGUUCUAAUCUGUGCAAACAAUUGUUACUACAAGUUGGUCUAGAAGAAUCAGUAUGCUUAUUUGUGACAUGGAUCACUUUUGUUUAUAUUCUGUUUUAGUUUGGAAAAAGCUUGUCUGUUUUCAUUUGUAGUAGCACUUGGUUGUCACUAGAAGAACCAGUCUAUAUUUGUAGAUCCUUUACAUUUGUUUUGUAAAUAAGUUGGUAUGUACUAUCUCAACAUUCUUUGAACAUAAUGAAUGAAAUUAUUUUUAUACCAUCUAUCAGUUCAAUUCCUUGUGAAGUAAGCAUUACUAGUUCCUUUAGACAGUUGACUGCACAGUUGGGUUUGCGACGUUAUUAUUGACACAGCUUACUACCUUAGCAAGUACAAAACCUAAAUUUACAUGUGUCAACAUAAAACCUCUGCAAAACAUGCUAUGAUGAGCUACAAAGAAACAAGAACAACAAACCCUUAGCAACAGAAAACACAUGCUAUAUUGCACUCAAUUCAAUUCUGCCUGCAUAUACAGUCAAAAGAGAGACAAGCAAAUAAGUCAGGAGGAGAGGAAACAAGCAAAGUGAAACAAUGAGGUGCAUAUUACCUCUUCAUGUUUCUUUAACAUUUUUAGUAUAUGGAAAACUCUCUUUUCUAUAAUAAAAUAUCUCACUAAAGACUAAAAUUCUCUCUUUUCUAUAUAAUUCAAUCUAAUUAAUUCAACCACCCAAAUUGCGUUGACGACAUAUCAACUCUCCAUGUGUCACGUCGUAAAUAUUCUGAUGUGACACCUCUAAGAAAACUCCACAUUCUUCUAUGUGAACGCAUUUAUGCAUCCAAUAGUAUUCACUACUAGUCAUUUGUCAUUUGAGUUACAAUAUAAUAUAGCCGUUGCAAAUUAAAGUAUUAUUUACUCAAAAUUCAUUGCUUCUCGUCAAUGUCAUUAUUGGUAUUUCACCUUUAUUUCUUUAGCAAUGCAAAACACAUUAAUUUAAUUUGAUGCAUCUUAUAGAAAUUCAUUCUUGGCUCACUUAGAUAUAAUCUCAUCCUCAACUUACUAUAUGUUUUCUCUUGCUUUUGUAAUCAUCCUUUCUCUCAAGGUAAUCAUCUUAGUGAAAGACUAAAGAGCCACAACCCCACAAAACCGGCUUGUGAGGUGAGGAUUGCCUCCACUUAUAAACACUUUGUCAGGAAAUCUCUUAUCCGAUGUGGGACUCUUUAACACCCUGAUUCUGUAAAGGCUUCACAUCAGGGUUCAUAGGAGUAUCAAUUGGUUUACAAUCGAGCAUCCUUGUUUCUUCCAAGAUAUGAAAAACAUAUUUUCUCUGAGAAAUAACAAUGACAGUCUGUGAUUGAGCUACUUCAGUCCGAAGAACAUAUAACAUAACCGACCUAAUUUUUUUUGGAAAGCGGCCGAAUAAAUGUUGUUUUUGGUCUCUAAUUCAUUCUUAGUCCUUACUGGUAAUAACAAUGUCAUUUACACAUAACACAAGAUAAAUGACUUUGUUCGAAGAUGAACUUUAAAAGAAUAUAAAUUGAUCAGCUUCACAAAGAAUCAUGCCAAAUUGUUGAAUAACCUUGCUGAGUUUUCUGAACCAAGAUCGAGGUGAUUGAUUUAUAUCCUCCUAAGCAAUAAAUCCAAGUGGUUACUCCAUAAAUCUCAUCUUCUAUCAGUCGAGAUUUCAAAUAAUCCACCUGUUUAUGUUGGCCUACUUUAAUAGCAAGGGCCCACUAACAACCAAAUUUAGAGUUUCAAGGAGGUAUCAAGCUAGAUUUCAUGUACCACUAGACUCCAAUGCAUUCAUUUCAUCAAUCAUUGUUUUUUGCCAUCCUGGAUGGGAUAUUUCUUCCUGGGCGAACUUAGGAAUUGAGAUAACGGAUAUUGCAAAGACAAAAGCAUAGUGGGAUUGAGACAAACCAUGAAAAUUCAAAAGGUUAUACAUAGGAUGAGAAUUAUAAGUAAUCUGUUUACCUUUUACGAAGAGUAAUAUGUAAGUCAAUCGAAGGAUCAGGUGGGACCACAGUUGGGCAAAGGAUUGGAACCGAACCCGUAUCACUAAAAGAGGUAGGAAGAUUCUCUUGAGCUAAAUUGCCAAAAUCAGUUGGAGCACUCUCUCGAACUUUGACAUGUCAACGUUGAUAAAUAAUACCAUAAUAAUGAAACUUAGAACCACUAUGUGACCGUGGAGGUCUGUGAGUACAGACAAGUGUUUCAAAUAUAGGAAUAGGUAGCACAUGAGUACUAUCAUCUUUUGCAGAAUCAGAUGUAGCUGGUGUCACAAGUAUUUUCAAAGAAUGUAACAUUUGCAGAGAUAUAAAAUGGAUGUGUAGAUGGACAAUAACAUUGAUACCCCCUUUAAACUCUGAACUACCCCGGAAGCACACACACUUGAUAAACUGUGCCGACAAUCUUUCGCGACCAGGAGAUAGAUCAUGAACAAAAUAAGUGGAUCCAAACACUCGAAUAGGAACAAAAUAAAGGAGGUCCUUAUGAAACAAGUGAAAUGUGGAAUCACAUUAUCCAAUAUUGAAAAUGACUUGUAGUUGAUCAAAUAACAGACGGUGAAAAGUGCAAUACCUCAAAUUUUGAAAGAAGCAUGAGAAUUGAUCAAUAAGGUACGAGCUGUAUCAACUAGAUGACGAUGUUUCCGCUCAGCGAUACUAUUUUGUUGUCGUGUGUGUGGACAACUAGACUUAUGGUUUGUGCCCUGAGAAGUCAAGAAGAAGUUGCAUCGUGAAGAAAAGAAUUCUUUGGCAUUGUAACUAACACUUAUAAGAGCGGGUAAUCGAAAGCCCAUUUUAUGUGCUUAUUUGGGAAAAGAAGAACAGAGCAAAGAUAUAAAUAUAUUAAGAAGGAUGUAACUAACACUUGACGUUGCCAAUGACUAAUGUUGUUUUUGAAGGAAAUAGCAAGUAUAUUUAUAAUUAUUGAGGUUCUCUGAAAAGUGAAAAUCCGAUUCCAAUCUAAAAUAUUAUUUGAAAGAGUUGAAAGUUAAAGAGCAUAAGAUAAUAUAUCAUGUGGCGUUGUCUUAAGAUUGCAUUUAUCGUACCCCACCUUCUAAGAAAAUGGCCAAUAUAAAGCAUCCACUUGCAACCAAAUGAGACUUUCUCAAGUGCAGAGCAGCCUCAUAUCUGUUCGUGCAUUAAUUACUACUUCAUAAUUAUGAAAACAUGCUUAGACAUGUUUUUUUUUUAUUAUAAUAGUGUUGAUGUCCAGAUGCUAAAUUAUACUUUCAAGUUGAUUAAUUAUAUGCUGGCCUCUGCUCAACAAGGUGGGACUUGCAUUAUCUAUCUACCACAACAUUUGAUGUUGAUCUUUGAGAAAGUCCUCAAAACUCUUAAGACAACACCAUGUGAUGUUUCAUAUGCUCUUGUCUGACCAUGACUCAAAUCUUAUGGCCCUCAUUCACUGAGCAUUAUAGUUGCCGACGAUUUGUUAAGUAUCCUUUCAUCUAUAUAUAUUCAUGGCUGCAAGCCUUUAGCACCAACACAAAUCAUUCACAUUCCAACUCUCAUUUGAAGUUCAAAAACUUGACUCUUUUCUAUAUACAAGUUUGUCUAUUUUAGACCAAUCUCUUCUUUUCAACACAUACAAUACGACAAUGGGUUUCCGUUUACCUAGUAUCAUCAAAAGGUCAUCAUCUUCAAAAUCUGUGGGCGUUCCAAAGGGAUAUCUAGCAGUGUACGUAGGAAAGGAGAUGAAGAGAUUUGUGAUCCCUAUAUCAUAUUUGAAGCAAAAAUUAUUCCAAGAACUGCUGAGCCAAAGUGAGGAACAAUUUGAAUAUGAUCAUCCAAUGGGUGGUCUCACUAUUCCUUGCAGAGAAGAAGUUUUCUUAGACAUCACUUCUAGCUUGAAUUGAAGUAGCUCUGAAGAUAUUAGAAGAUUGACAUAGAUAUCUGAUCAAUUUUUGUAUGAAAUUAGUUUCUAACCUUCAAACGAUUUCCACUUUUGUUGUUAUCAUACUUGGAUGUAAAACAUUCAUCGGAAUGAGAAAUUUAUAUACACUAUUACAUUAUUUCUCUAUUCCUUCCUUCCUCUUAAUUAUCAAUAUGAAAAUCGAUUGCUAAAUGUUCAGUUUAUGAUAUCUCUGACAAAAUGAAAAAUUC
rnacentral:lncRNA from 1 species